GACGAACGCUGGCGGCGUGCCUAGUACAUGCAAGUCGAGCGGACGAAUCGAAAGCUUGCUUUUGAUUCGUUAGCGGCGGACGGGUGAGUAACACGUGGGCAACCUGCCCUGUAGACGGGGAUAACACCGAGAAAUCGGUGCUAAUACCGGAUAACACGAAAUGUCGCAUGACGUUUCGUUGAAAGACGGCGCAAGCUGUCGCUACAGGAUGGGCCCGCGGCGCAUUAGCUAGUUGGUGAGGUAACGGCUCACCAAGGCGACGAUGCGUAGCCGACCUGAGAGGGUGAUCGGCCACACUGGGACUGAGACACGGCCCAGACUCCUACGGGAGGCAGCAGUAGGGAAUCUUCCGCAAUGGACGAAAGUCUGACGGAGCAACGCCGCGUGAGCGAAGAAGGCCUUCGGGUCGUAAAGCUCUGUUGUUAGGGAAGAACAAGUAACGCAGUAACUGGCGUUACCGUGACGGUACCUAACGAGAAAGCCACGGCUAACUACGUG
rnacentral:rRNA from 1 species